AUUGAACGCUGGCGGCAGGCUUAACACAUGCAAGUCGAGCGGGGUGAUGGUGCUUGCACUAUCACUUAGCGGCGGACGGGUGAGUAAUGCUUAGGAAUCUGCCUAUUAGUGGGGGACAACAUCUUGAAAGGGAUGCUAAUACCGCAUACGUCCUACGGGAGAAAGCAGGGGAUCACUUGUGACCUUGCGCUAAUAGAUGAGCCUAAGUCGGAUUAGCUAGUUGGUGGGGUAAAGGCCUACCAAGGCGACGAUCUGUAGCGGGUCUGAGAGGAUGAUCCGCCACACUGGGACUGAGACACGGCCCAGACUCCUACGGGAGGCAGCAGUGGGGAAUAUUGGACAAUGGGGGGAACCCUGAUCCAGCCAUGCCGCGUGUGUGAAGAAGGCCUUAUGGUUGUAAAGCACUUUAAGCGAGGAGGAGGCUCAUUUGGUUAAUACCCAAGAUGAGUGGACGUUACUCGCAGAAUAAGCACCGGCUAACUCUGUGCCAGCAGCCGCCGUAA
rnacentral:rRNA from 1 species